UUUGUAGUUUAAGUAUAUCCUAUGAUAUGUUUAGGACAUACUUAUACUAAAA
rnacentral:pre_miRNA from 1 species